GACGAACGCUGGCGGCGUGCUUAACACAUGCAAGUCGAACGGAAAGGCCCUGCUUUUGUGGGGUGCUCGAGUGGCGAACGGGUGAGUAACACGUGAGUAACCUGCCCUUGACUUUGGGAUAACUUCAGGAAACUGGGGCUAAUACCGGAUUGGAGCUCCUGCUGCAUGGUGGGGGUUGGAAAGUUUCGGCGGUUGGGGAUGGACUCGCGGCUUAUCAGCUUGUUGGUGGGGUAGUGGCUUACCAAGGCUUUGACGGGUAGCCGGCCUGAGAGGGUGACCGGCCACGUUGGGACUGAGAUACGGCCCAGACUCCUACGGGAGGCAGCAGUGGGGAAUAUUGCACAAUGGGCGGAAGCCUGAUGCAGCAACGCCGCGUGCGGGAUGACGGCCUUCGGGUUGUAAACCGCUUUCGCCUGUGACGAAGCGUGAGUGACGGUAAUGGGUAAAGAAGCACCGGCUAACUACGUG
rnacentral:rRNA from 1 species